AACGAGCGCUGGCGGCAUGCCUAACACAUGCAAGUCGAACGAGACCUUCGGGUCUAGUGGCGCACGGGUGCGUAACGCGUGGGAAUCUGCCCUUAGGUUCGGAAUAACUUCGGGAAACUGAAGCUAAUACCGGAUGAUGACGUAAGUCCAAAGAUUUAUCGCCUAAGGAUGAGCCCGCGUUGGAUUAGCUAGUUGGUGAGGUAAAGGCUCACCAAGGCGACGAUCCAUAGCUGGUCUGAGAGGAUGAUCAGCCACACUGGGACUGAGACACGGCCCAGACUCCUACGGGAGGCAGCAGUGGGGGAAUAUUGGACAAAUGGGCGAAAAGGACCUUGAUCCAGCAAUGCCGCGUGAGUGAUGAAGGCCUUAGGUUGUAAGCUNUUUACCAGGGAUGAUAAUGACAGUACCUGGAGAA
rnacentral:rRNA from 1 species